rnacentral:rRNA from 1 species
GACCGGCGCACGGGUGCGUAACGCGUAUGCAACCUACCCUGUACUGGGGGAUAGCCCGAAGAAAUUCGGAUUAAUACCCCAUAGUAUUAUUUGUUCGCAUGAAUAGAUAAUUAAAGAUUACGGUACGGGAUGGGCAUGCGUCCUAUUAGCUAGAUGGUAAGGUAACGGCUUACCAUGGCGACGAUAGGUAGGGGGCCUGAGAGGGUGAUCCCCCACACUGGUACUGAGACACGGACCAGACUCC